rnacentral:rRNA from 1 species
UGCGCAGGCGGUUUUGUAAGUCAGAUGUGAAAUCCCCGAGCUCAACUUGGGAACUGCGUUUGAAACUGCAAGACUAGAAUAUGUCAGAGGGGGGUAGAAUUCCACGUGUAGCAGUGAAAUGCGUAGAGAUGUGGAGGAAUACCAAUGGCGAAGGCAGCCCCCUGGACAGUGACUGACGCUCAUAUGCGAAAGCGUGGGGAUCAAACAGGAUUAGAUACCCGUGUA